CCUACGGGAGGCAGCAGUUUGGAAUUUUGGACAAUGGACGAAAGUCUGAUCCAGCGACGCCGCGUGCACGAAGAAGGUCUUCGGAUCGUAAAGUGCUUUUGGCAGGGACAAAUUUUUGAUGGUACCUGCAGAAUAAGAGGUUGCUAACUCUGUGCCAGCAGCCGCGGUAAU
rnacentral:rRNA from 1 species